rnacentral:misc_RNA from 1 species
UCCUGCUUAGAACAGGCAGUUCCGCUAAAGUGCCCAGCCCAACCUGAUGGCAACUAGCAGUAAGGGUUGCGCUCGUUGCGGGACUUAACCCAACAUCUCACGACACGAGCUGACGACAGCCAUGCAGCACCUGUGCAAACCCGGCCGAACCGAAAGUAGAAUCUCUCCUACCGAUAAUUUGCAUGUCAAGAGCGGGUAAGGUUCUGCGCGUUGCUUCGAAUUAAACCACAUAAUCCACCGCUUGUGCGGGUCCCCGUCAAUUCCUUUGAGUUUUAAUCUUGCGACCGUACUCCCCAGGCGGACUGUUUAUCGCGUUAGCUUCGACAUCGAGUCUUAACGACCCAACACCUAACAGUCAUCGUUUACGGCGUGGACUAC